AUUGAACGAUGGCGGCAGGCCUAACACAUGCAAGUCGAGCGGAGCGGCGGACGGGUGAGUAAUGCCUAGGAAUCUGCCUGGUAGUGGGGGAUAACGUCCGGAAACGGGCGCUAAUACCGCAUACUAGCAGAUGAGCCUAGGUCGUAUUAGCUAGUUGGUGGGGUAAAGGCCUACCAGGGCGACGAUCCGUAACUGGGCUGAGAGGAGGAUCAGUCACACUGGAACUGAGACAGGGGCCAGACUCCUACGGGAGGGAGAAGUGGGGAAUAUUGGAAAAUGGGCGAAAGCUGGAUCCAGCCAGGCCGCGUGUGUGAAGAAGGUCUUCGGAUUGUAAAGCACUUUAAGUUGGUAGGCGUUACCAACAGAAUAAGCACCGGCUAACGUCGUGCCAGCAGCCGCGGUAAUUC
rnacentral:rRNA from 1 species